rnacentral:rRNA from 1 species
GAUGAACGCUGGCGGCGUGCCUAAUACAUGCAAGUCGAGCGAACGGACGAUAAGCUUGCUUCUCUGAUGUUAGCGGCGGACGGGUGAGUAACACGUGGAUAACCUACCUAUAAGUCUGGGAUAACUUCGGGAAAGCGGAGCUAAUACGGGAUGAGAUUUUGAACCGCAUGGUUCAAAAGUGAAAGACGGUCUUGCUGUCACUUCUCGAUGGAUCCGCGCUUCAUUAGCUAGUUGGUAAGGUACCGGCUUACCAAGGCGACGAUGCAUAGCCGACCUGCGAGGGUGAGCGGCCACACUGGGACUGAGACCCGGUCCAGACGCCUACGGGAGCGAGCCGGAGGGAAACUUCAGCAAUGGGCGAAAGCCUGAGGGCGCAACGCCGCGUGCGUGAUGAGGGUCUUCGGAUCGUAAAACUCUGUUAUUAGGGAAGAACAUAUGUGUAAGUAACUGUGCACAUCUUGACGGUACCUAAGUAGAAAGGCACGGCUAAAUAAGUG